rnacentral:lncRNA from 1 species
CGCUGUUCCCGCCCUCGGAGGAGCUGAACGUUCACCUGGAGGCGCUGCCGGCGCUGCCGGUGACCCCGGACGUGCUGGUGACGCCCUCGGAGCUGCGCUUCUUCCUCAAGGACGUCCUGGGCUGUGUCUGUGUCAAUCCCGGCCGUCUGACCAAGGGCCGGGCCGGGGGCACCUACGGGCGGCUGCUGCUGCGGAGAGAGCGGCACCGGGACAGUCCCGGGGAGAAUCCCGGGGAGAAUCCCGGGAAUGAGCCUGGGAACAAUCCUGGGAACAGCCCAGGGAACAAUCCCAGGGAAAAUCCCGGGAACAAUCCCAAUUCCGGGGCCGAGCCCCGGAGCAGCCCCUGCGUGGCCGCCCAGGUGGUGAGGAUCUGAGCUGGCUCCGGCAGGAGCGGGAACUGGGGAGAAAACAUCUGGAAUUGGGAGAAAACAUCUGGAACUGGGGGGAAAACAUCUGGAUAUGGGGGGAAAACAUCUGGAAUUGGGGUGAAAACAAUUCCUGGAAUUGGGGAGAAGACAUCUGGAAUUGGGGAGAAGACAUCUGGAAUUGGGGAGAAAACAUCUGGAAUUGGGGAGAAAACAUCUGGAACUGGGGGAAAACAUCUGGAACUGGGGAGAAAACAUCUGGAACUGGGGAGAAAACAUCUGGAUUUGGGGAGAAACUCCUGGAUUUGGGGUGAAAACAAUUCCUGGAAUUGGGGUGAAAACAU